ensembl:lncRNA
GGAAACCCACAGUCUCAGCUUCCUGGGAUAAAGGAGUGUUAUUUUUGGCCCUGCUCUUUUCCCCCUUUUUAUUCUGUUUUGUUUUAUUCCCUCCAUCCUUUCUCUUCUUCCUUUUGCCUCCGGAAAGAGCUGGACCGCUGUUACCUCCCUGAAACACGCCAAGCCGAGAGGGGUACGGUUGAUGUGCUAGUGCGAUACCUAGGUGAUGCUGUACCGGCAUCCGUCGCAGCCGGCUGGGUGCAGAAGAAGAAAAAGCAAGGGAUUGGAGGAGAGAGGGAGAGGGGUGUUCUACUUUCUCAACCCCACGAUCGGUCAACUGGGGCUUGUCCUCUUUCACUGCAGCACAUGGCAGCCUAUACAUACAAACACAAAACACUCCAGUUGCAUCACACAUACACAAACUGUAAAGUAAAGCUAAUUAACACACCUAUUAGCCUAAUCAAUACACAUCCUCUCACAUUAACUGAGGCCAGUGGUGCAUAAGGAGGUGCUAUGGGUAAAUAGUCAGGGGCGCUUUUAUAGGGACACUGUAGAAGUGUUUUCUUUCUCUUGUGAUAGCUUGAUGUUCACAGAAAUGACCUUUUAUUCCCAGGUGACAUUUGCACAGGCAUUCGGUGCAAACGAAAAACCACACAGGGCUAAUUAGGCUGCAUGCGGUUGUAUGUGUGUAUGCUUGUGCAUCGUUGUAGCUAAAAUAUGUAGCAUGUGAAGGGCUGAGAGAAAUGACUGAAACCAUGAAUGGAGAGAUGAACCACUCCUUUUUUCGAUCUUCCCUCGCUCUCGUGUACAUGAGCAGGAUGUGGGAGAGAAACUUCACACCUGAGGGGAGAAGAAAGAGGUGGAUGUAUGAAUGAAGCCCUAAGUAAUGGAGUCUGGUCAUACAUGGCAGGAUACGAAUGCUUUUGGUUGCCAGACCCCUGGCAUGUUGGUAAAAAAAAUCAGGCUGGGUGGCUACAAAAUCUGUCAUUUACUGGUAAUGAAUUUGCAGGGGUGGUGAGCUUUCGCUUUCAGUCAUCAAAAAAAAAUCAUUGUUCCUUGCACAAGUACAAAAGACUCUAAUAAGUGUGUAUUAAAAAGAACUUGAAUCAUAACAAAUUUGUUGUGUAUCCUACUCGAAAUGAAUGCAAAUAAAUGCAUCUGAAAGCAAAAUAUGAUGCA